rnacentral:ncRNA from 2 species
UGAUCAGCGGCUUACGGUGGCUCGGCCACGUGCGAUGGAGGCCGGAAGCCGGUGAGAAUCCGGCACGGACGCGCCACUGUAUCCGGGCAGAGCCUGCCCGGAAGUCAGACCCGCCGCCAUCGCCACUACCCA